rnacentral:rRNA from 1 species
GACGUAGGAUGCAAGCGUUGUUCGGAUUUAUUGGGCGUAAAGCGAGCGUAGGUGGCUAGAUAAGUCUGGUGUUAAAAGCUAGGGGCUCAACCCCUGUGUUGCACUGGAAACUGUCUGGCUUGAGGAUGGUAGGGGAAGGUGGAAUUCCGAGUGUAGCGGUGAAAUGCGUAGAGAUCGGAAAGAACACCAACGGCGAAAGCACUCUGCUGGGCCGACACUGACACUGGAGAGACGAAAGCUAGGGGAGCGAAUGGG